rnacentral:tRNA from 1 species
GGAAUGUAGCUUAAUGGUAGAGUGCUUGCCUAGCACGCAUGAAGCCCUGGGUUCAAUUCCUCAGUACCA